rnacentral:rRNA from 1 species
UACGGGGGGGGGCAAGCGUUGUUCGGAAUUACUGGGCGUAAAGGGCUCGUAGGCGGCCAACUAAGUCAGACGUGAAAUCCCUCGGCUUAACCGGGGAACUGCAUCUGAUACUGGAUGGCUUGAGUUCGGGAGAGGGAGUGCGGAAUUCCAGGUGUAGGCGGUAGAAAUGCGUAGAUAUCUGGAGGAACACCGGUGGCGAAGGCGGCAUCCUGGACCGACACUGACGCUGAGGAGCGAAAGCCAGGGGAGCAAAGCGGG